GGGCCGGUCGUCUAGCAUGGUUAGGACGUCGCUCUGACUCGGCGAAGGUCGGUGGUUCAAGUCCGCCCCGGCCCA
rnacentral:tRNA from 1 species